rnacentral:rRNA from 1 species
ACGUAGGAGGCAAACGUUAUCCGGAUUUACUGAGCGUAAAGCGCGUGUAGGUGGUUCUGUAAGUAGGGCGUGAAAGCUCCUGGCUCAACUGGGAGAGGCCGUUCUAAACUGCAGAGCUAGAGGAUGGUAGAGGGAGGUGGAAUUCCGGGUGUAGCGGAGGAAUGCGCACAUAUCCGGAGGAAAACCCGUGUGAAAAGCGACCUAAUGGAACUAUCCUGACCCUCAGACGCGAAAUCUAUGGGAGCUAACGG